rnacentral:misc_RNA from 1 species
GCAAACUUGGUCAUUUAGAGGAAGUAAAAGUCGUAACAAGGUUUCCGUAGGUGAACCUGCGGAAGGAUCAUUAAUGAGUUUUGAAAGCGGGUCUGUUGCUGGCGUGGAAAUGCGCAUGUGCACGGCUUCGUGCUCAAUUCGCUUAACUCCUGUGCACCUUUGCAAAGUGAGUAAGCUUCGUCCUUUGGAGUAUGAAGUAACGAGUAGGGUGAGCGUGCGUGGGUACCAGUAGCCUGAAAGUGAACGUGCUCCAUUUUAAGAACGUGGCUGAAAACUUUGAUUCUUCAUCAAUCCUUCGUAUGUUUUGUGAAUGUGUUGCUCUUUGUGAGCGAAAUGAAUACAACUUUCAACAACGGAUCUCUUGGCUCUCGCAUCGAUGAAGAACGCAGC